GACAGAGGUGCCGAGCGUUAGGCGGAAUCACUGGGCUUAAAGCGUGUGUAGGCGGAUCGUUAAGUACCUUGUGAAAUCCCACGGCUUAACCGUGGAACUGCUUGGUAUACUGGCGAUCUUGAGCCACCUAGGGGCAACCGGAACAAAUGGUGGAGCGGUGAAAUGCGUAGAUAUCAUUUGGAACGCCAAUGGUGAAAACAGGUUGCUGGGGGUGUGCUGACGCUGAGACACGAAAGCCAGGGGAGCAAACGGG
rnacentral:rRNA from 1 species